CAUGAUUUCCGGAAGAAAGGAUGGCCUCUAUUUAUAAGCUAUCGCCUGAAGAGGGGUUUGCGUCUGAUUAGGCAGUUGGUGAGGUAACGGCCCACCAAACCUACGAUCAGUAGCCGGUCUGAGAGGAUGAACGGCCACACUGGAACUGAGACACGGUCCAGACUCCUACGGGAGGCAGCAGUGGGGAAUCUUCCGCAAUGGACGAAAGUCUGACGGAGCAACGCCGCGUGAGUGAUGACGGCCUUCGGGUUGUAAAGCUCUGUGAUCGGGGACGAAUGGCUGGUAUGCUAAUACCUUAUCAGAGUGACGGUACCCGAAUAGCAAGCCACGGCUAACUACGUGCCAGCAGCCGCGGUAAUACGUAGGUGGCAAGCGUUGUCCGGAAUUAUUGGGCGUAAAGCGCGCGCAGGCGGCUUCUUAAGUCCAUCUUAAAAGUGCGGGGCUUAACCCCGUGAUGGGAUGGAAACUGGGAGGCUGGAGUAUCGGAGAGGAAAGUGGAAUUCCUAGUGUAGCGGUGAAAUGCGUAGAGAUUAGGAAGAACACCGGUGGCGAAGGCGACUUUCUGGACGACAACUGACGCUGAGGCGCGAAAG
rnacentral:rRNA from 1 species